AUGAAGAUGAACAUAGAUGGAGCCUGGUGGAUGGCCACCGAAUAUGUCGAAGAACACAACCAUGAUAUGAUAAAGAAGUUUGACCUAGUAAGAUUUCUGAGCACCCACAGAGGAUUCAGUCCUCACGAGAAGAAGUUCAUAAAGUUGCUACAUGAUUGUAACAUCGAUACAUCAAGAAUGGUCCAGAUAAUGUCCCUGAUCCACAGCAAAGAUGGAAGUCUGAGUAGCAUGCCCUACAUACCAGCAUACGUCACAAACCUAAAGGCAAAGUACCAUAGAGAGAGCAAGUUGGCUGACAUAGAAGACAUGACCGCCUACUUCGAAGAGAAAGCAAAGGUGGAUCCUGAUUUCUUCUACAGGAUAAGGUUGGACGAUGAGGACCGUGUCAGAAACAUGUAUUGGGUGCAUGGAAUAGAGGAGGUCUUUCCGUUGGCAGUGCACAUGCACUGCAGGUGGCACAUUAUUAAGAAGGCUGAAGAGAUGCUGGGACCAUUCUUUGCUGACCAUCCGGAGCUACACAAGGCAUUCGAGUUGUGUGUGGACCACAGCUUGACAGUGGAAGAGUUUGAACGGAGCUGGACAACUAUGAUUGAAAAAUACCAAACUACGCAACGCAGCAAGGGUUUCAAAGCUGUCUUGAAGCGUUACGUGAGCCCUGGCAACUCAUUGCUGCAGUUUGCCAAGCAAUAUUCAGCUUUGCAACAGAAAAUAUUGGGAUCUGAGCUGCAAUUCCAGGAAGAAAUAAAGUUGUCCAGCAUGUACGCAGCUUACCAGGUUGACGAAUGUACAUUCAAGGUGUGUACUCUCAGGGGCAUGUCCGAUUUUGAACCUGGAGACCCAGACAAGGGGAGAAACUACUUUGUGAAGGCCUUGGUAAACGAAGAUACACGUGGUCAUGCGUUUGCCCCACCAUUCAUACGACGGCGAUGGACUUGGGAUGUUGACGAUGCGUUGGGGCCACAAACAUCAAAUGCAGUUUUGGCUGACAUGAUGACAGGCCGGAGGCAACCAUGGACUCCUUAUCCUCCCCACCGCCCCCUCAGUCCCUCACAUUUCUCUCCCCGUUCCCCAUUCUCCCAUGGUGGCCACACCCCUCACUCCACAGCCGACCCUCUUCGUCACCAACGCCGGCGCUCCCUGGUCUGGCCGCCGCUCACCUUCGUCACCACCGUCCGUGCUUCCUGGUCAGUCCGCGGCUCCCCUUCGCAGCAGCUGCUCUUCCUCCCCUUCAUGUGGAAUCGCUCGAGGAAGUGUCCGAGGAGGCCCUCGAGCUCGGCAUGCUCGCGCCAGCGUAGGCGCCGGUGGAGGUGGACGUGGAGGUGUGGCACUCACACGCGCCUGCUCUACCCUGCACCUUCUCCGAAUUCGUUCGCCGAAGUGCUCGAGAAGGCGCUUGAGGUCGGCAUGCUCACCGGCGACGCCGGGCCCCUCCCUCCUCCUGAUGCCCUCUCCGUCGCCGCCUUGAGCCUCUCCACCCUCUCCCGUGCGGUCGUCCGGGUCCAGAUUGCUGCACCUUCUGGUUAUUUCCCGAGGGAGGAAAAGGAGGUGCUGAAAGGGGAUGGGAGCAACAAUACAAGGGCACUUUUCCCUUGGGACAUGGCCAGGGGUAUUUAUGUAUCUGCCUGGGGUCUUGGCAUGUCCUUGAGCACGCAUCAGGUGUUCUGCGACAACUCAAGUCACCUUCGUAAAUUCAGAAAGCCAAGGAGACAGGGGGACGUGCAGGGCGGGCGCGGCUCCGCGGGUGCCGAGGCAGGCUCCUGGGCAGUGGCUAUCUCGCGGAUGGGCCACACUGCAAGGGGGACGUGGGCUGGUACUUGGAAUAUUCCUCCGAUGGUGGAGUACGGUCAGUCAUAG
rnacentral:rRNA from 1 species